rnacentral:rRNA from 1 species
UCCGUAGGUGGAUCAAUCAGUCAGAGGUGAAAUCCUGCAGCUUAACUGUAGAACUGCCUUUGAUACUGUUGAUCUUGAGUCAUUAUGAAGUGGUUAGAAUGUGUAGUGUAGCGGUAAAAUGCAUAGAUAUUACACAGAAUACCGAUUGCGAAGGCAGAUCACUAAUAAUGUACUGACACUGAGGGACGAAAGCGUGGGGAGCGAACAGGAUUAGAUACCCUGGUAGUCC